UUUUACAUACUGAAGAUUGGAAAGGGGAAUUUGCAUAUUUACAAAUAAAACAAACUCUGUGUGAGAAAUAGAGGCAAAAAACGGAGAUAAAAAUUAAACCUGAAGGCAAAACACGGAGAUAAAAAUUGAACCGAAAAUAACAAUAAAACCCAGGAACAUAUCAGCGAGUGAGGCCGUAAAAUAUUGUAUAUUGCGGUGGGAGAUCAAUCUUCCGGUUAAAACUGGGAGUACAGUUGGACACCAGUGCUUCCAGAACCAAGCGUUGGUACUUGUUUCCAAUAUCCCUGUAUACAGAAAUCGUAUCGUCUAAAUUGAAGGAAUGGUCGAAAUCUGCCAUGUGUUGAAAAAUGAGAGAUUUUCGAUCUUUAGAACGUAUAUUACGGUUGUGUUCGCGGAUUCUAGUGGCGAUGGUUCGACCAGUUUCACCAAUGUAGCAUUGCUCACAAUCGUUGCAUGAUAUUUUAUAGAUGCCGUUAUUGAGGGAUAGAGGGUUAAGUUUGAUGGAGCUUUUUGUUAUGGGGUGCCGUAAGGAUGCUUCUAGGGAAGGCGAAUUUUUGAAAAACGUGCGAAUACCGAAUUUUCGUAAAAAUAACGCAAUAUCAGAGUUCGUGGUCGAAAAAGGAAGGACACAGACGUUUUUAUACAGCGGAGGUGUAACUUUUUUGUGGUUCGGAACGUAAAAAUGGCGGUCAAUAAAAUUUCGUGAAAUUUUAUAAUAUAAUAAUUUUCAAAUUCUUCCACAACGUGGAGAUAAACAAAAGGCAUUUUUAUAAUAUUUCACUUUGUAAUAAAAUAUUUUCUUCUAGAGAUAUUUUUAUAUCAAAGGCAUUUUCUUCGAGGCUCCAGGAAUCUUUAUAGUUUAUUAAGAUUAGUGUAUAUUCAUACAUAUUUAUGUAUACUUAUAUAUCUGUCUAAAAAUGACCGAAUUUAUUAUUUCAUUCAAAAGAAAAAAAUCAAAAUCUGUUGCUAAGCUAUAUAUAGAUCAGAUUAUUAAGCAAACGAAACAAAAUGCGUGGAUGUUUCAAGUUCUGCAAACUUUUCCGUCGGAACAAAAGGUAUUCAAUCAAACUGAUAUCAGAUCAUUUGUCUCAUGCUUAAUGUUGAAAAUAGAAGAUCAAUUUGACUACCAAAUAUUUAUACAAUGGUCGAAUUUAAUAGGGAAGUAAUAUUGUGAUAUGAGGGACUAAUAUAAUAAUUUUCAAUAUAAUUCGCUAAAGCUUAGGAAAUGUUUUAUAGAGAAUUAAAAUAUUUUUAUUCAUAUUUAUUAAAAUCUUAUACAUACAAAAUAGCUUGGUCUUCUAAUGUUUUCUUGUUAUUCAGGUAGUGUGUCCUGUGCUCCAAGAAUCCAGAUUGUAUAUAUUUAUAUAGCUUUGUAAAUAAUCAAUUACUAGUUGUUAGCUAUAUAUCGUGAUGUGGUUAAUAAAUAAUUUAUUCUCUAAAACUGUGCAAACUUUUUUUAAAACUAAAUAUUUUUUUAAAGAUUAUAAUUUUCGCAAGUUUAUUCAGUUUAAUCAGACGGAAAAUGUACUGUUAAAUUAAAAUAGUAUUUGUAAUUUUUAUAUGUUGAAAAUGUGUGUUAUUGCAAAUUUAUUCUUCAGUAAAAGGUUUUAUCAAACAUUCUAAAAAUAUAUAUUUUUUUAAUAAAAUGUCCACACUAGUAUCGUUUUAUAUUAUUAAUUUUUAAAAAAUAUGUCACAAGAUUAUUUCCUUAAAAUAUUAUUUUAAUGAAUGAAAAUUUGGGUAUUCAUUUUAAAAGACUGUUUUAUCAAAAAACCCUUUAUUAAUAUAAUUAAAAAUUCUGAUUCUUUUCUUGGGUUGUUGAAUUAAAGAAAUAUAUAUAUACAAAUAUCUAAAAUGCCUUCCUAUUAAAAUAAAAAAUGUAUUUUUUUUAAUAUUUGAAAGGUUUUUAAAUAAAUCAAAACGUAUAUAUAUUAAAUACCUAUAUGCAUAUAUUAGUGUAUAUUCAAAAUAUUGUUAAUAAAUAUGUGAAAACGAAUAUAUUUAAUAUCUUUUCAUGAAAAAUGUUUAAAAUAUCCGUUAAUAUUUCCCCAUAAAAUUAAAGUCACUCUCCAUCUUAGUUUUUUUUUUUUUAAGAUGUACUUUUAAAUAGUACAAAUAUUAGAGAGAGAGGUAUAUUUGCCCAUAAAAUUUAAAAAUACAAAAAAAAAAUUAAGGAAUUAUAAAUAUUUUAUUUGACAUUUUGAAAAUAAUCAAUAAAAAUGAUCGUAUAAAAAAGAAUUAUAUUUUUAAAUAUUACCUACAUUUCAGGGGCAGAAGUGCAUAUCUAGGUAAAUAUUAUAUUAAUAUAUUUUUAAUUCUUGUAUUUUUUUCUUUUUAGACAAUCAUCUAAAUGGCAUCGAUUUCAGGCUGUUUGAUUUAAAUAAAAACGCAUUUAUAAUUCUCAAAAAUGACAUCUGCGCGCCUGCGCUUUAAUUUUGAAAAGAAGGUAUUUUUAGAAGUAUAUAUUAGUAUAAAUAUUUUAGUAAGUGAACGAGUUUUUUCAAGAUUUUCAAAAUUAGUUCACUUCAAUUAUUAAUGUUUAAAUUUUAAUAAGUUUUCAUUUUCUUUAUAUUUUCAAAAAUAGACACAUAUAUAAAAUAGAGUUUUUUUUUCAAUGUUUUAUAUUCCAUAAUGUCGUAUUAUCUCCUGAGCCCAUUUAAAAAAAUAAUAUGUACCGUAUUGAUUCUUCAGAAUUAUUGAGGUUCUUUUUAUAAAGGAACAUAAAUAUUUUUCAAGUUAUAUAUUUUUAUAUUAGAUUUAUAUGUACCAAAAAUAUAUUUGUACCAAAAUUCCUCGCUCUUUGAAUAUGAAAAGGAAUAUGUGUCAGUUUUGGAACGAUGAAUAAAAUCCUUUCCCACAACUCUUUUAAUAUAUAUGUGAUUUCUAUAUUUAUCUAUCUAUAAAUUACGAUAUCGCUGAUGCACGGUAUCGACUAUGGAACGGUUGGGAGUUAAGGCUUGACUUUGAAGCGAUUAUUUAUGACCUCAAAGGUGGAAGAAAUCCUAAAUGUAAAGUUUUUCUAUUUCGAAUCUCUUUGGAGUUAGAAGCUAAAAACUGUAACAAACAAUCAUUUAUAGAGAUGUAUCAGAGUUGCGAUGUACUUCACGCGGCUUCCGCAGUUUUCAAAGCCAACCUAUUUAUGACAGGAGUAAUUUGUAAUUCUGCCAAGUGAACACAGGGCGCCACGUUUAUGGAGUCAAUGUUUGAUGGUUACGAUACCUGGGAGUUACAAAUUAUCAAAGUUCUAUAUAAAUAUUAAUUUGUUAUCAAUAUAAGUGAUUCAUUUAUUUUUAAACAUAAAUAUUGUAUAUAUUUGCUGUGUAAACGUUUGUAUGCGUAUUAUAAUGGCUUUUAUUUCAAAUAAAGCCAUAGUUUUGGACAUUUAAUUGAAUAUUUUUUAAUUUGUAGAUUUUAUGAGAGAUAUAUUUUCUUCACAAAUGAUGUGCUAAAUAUUUAAUUGUUAUUAAAUUACUGAAAUACACUCAUGGACAAAACAACGAAUUGGAAAGUCUUUGAUGCCGCCGGUCGUCUGUUUUUGUUUUUAAGGAAACAGAGGUAAUUUUGUUCACACUUGGUUAUCUCGUGUGUCUUCAAUAAAGGUCACUGUAAUAUCUUUCAGAGUUAUUGUCUGAAUCCCGAUAUACAUGGUAAAAGGUACAACUUCCUUAAGUUUUGUUCAUGAGUGUAUAUACAGAUAGAGAACAUUGAACAACCAAGCUAUGGAACAUGUAUGAUGAUUUUAAUAGAGGUAUAUUUUGUGUAUUUUUAUUUAUACAUAUAAUUAUAAUUAAUUAAUAAAAAUAAAUUGAUGAAUCAUUUCAAUGUCACAAUAUAAUAUGGUAACUUUUUUAUUGGCAUUUAAGUUGUCGUUCCCAGCUGAUUUCUACUUUAAUUUCGCAACCCUUAGCUUGACGAGUUUUUGAAGAGUUUAGAGCAGAGCAGUGUGUUAAAUCAAUGAAACCUGCUAUUCUAACAACUGAAUGUUGCUGAUGACCCACUGCUAUCUAUCAGAUCAUUUAAUAACAUUGACUAAAAUUAUAUACACUGCGUGACAUUGAAAAUGGAACACCAAGAAAUAGUGGCCAGAAAGUGAUGAAACUCGGCAGACAGAGAGAGACAGGGACGAACAAUAAGUGAUCUUUAUAUCAAAAUGAUAGUCAUAAUACAGAGCGAGAACGGCGUCGGCUUAGUGGCAAGUAGGACCACCGCGGACGGCGAUGCACGCAGCAACACGUCUAGGUAGAGAGUCAAUCAGAGUACGGAUGGCGUCCUGAGGGAUGGCUCUCCAUUCCCUCUCAACCAUUUGCCACAGUUCGUCUUCUGAACGCGGCUGUGGCAAGGUAUGCAAACGGCGUCCAAUGAUGUCCCAGACGUGCUCGAUUGGUGAGAGUUCAGGAGAGUACGGUGGCCAGGGAAGCAUCUGUACAUCUUACAGAGCUUGUUGGCUAAUGCGAGCAGUGUGCGGUCGGGCGUUAUCCUGCUGAUAAAGAGCAUUGGGUACCCCCUGAAGGUAGGGGAGUGUCACCGGUCGCAGCACAUCAUCAACGUAUCGUUGGGCCGUCAUAGUGCCCUGAAUACGAAGUAAAGGUGACCUGGAAUCAUACGCGAUUGCGCCCCAAACCAUGAUUACACGUUGUCGCACGGUGGGGCGUUCCACAAUUGCUGCCGGAUUGGACCUUUCUCCACGUCGACGCCACACGCGUACACGGCGACUAUCACUGGACAAGCAGAAACGCGACUCAUCUGAGAACACGACCCUGUGCCAUUCCGUCAUCCACGUCGAUCUAGCCCGGCACCAUUCCAAACGUUGGCGCCUAUUCGGUGGGGUCAAUGGCAGUCUUCUUAGCGGACGGCAUGAGUGCAAGCCAUUAGCAACCAAUCGACGGGAAAUGGUUCUGGUCGAGAUGGAAUGAUCUAGGGUGUCUUGCACAUGUUGCAGGAUGGCGGUACAAGUGGCUUGUGGGGCCGCCACUGCUUGUCGAAGGAUACGCCGAUCCACACGUGCUGACGUCACUCUGGUUGCACCGACAUUCCUAUAAAUUGCCACAUUUCCUUGUUCCAACCAUCUUCUCCACAGUCGGUGCACCGUGGACGCACCAAGGUGUGUAUCAGCUGCGAUUUGACGUAUGGACCAACCUGCCCUUUUCAGUCCGAUCACCAUGCCCUCGUAAAAGCGUCUGUCUGCUUGAACUGCCUCCAUUUACGAUGACCUGGCAUUCUCUGUUAUUACACGUGUCUUUUGACACAAGAACAAAAUUUCUACAAUGAUUUUCCUUGAAGAAAUAACGACACGAAUACUGUCCUUUCUGCAAGUUCCUUCCCUUAUAUCUUACUCCAUGUGCGCACAAGAGCUGCGCAUUUUACAUCAUUUGCAUAACUCGGUUAGGCGCGUCUACCCUGAAAUUUGCAUAAUUUUCUGGCCACUAUUUCCUAUUUCUUGGUGUUCCAUUUUCAAUGUCACGCAGUGUAUUUCCUAAUUUCAAAAACUAUUAAUAGGCAUUUAAUAAUUUGUAGUUUUAUUAUUAUUUCUAUCUACAGUUUCGACAGGUCUGUAAGAUAGAGUAAACAGUGUAUGUAAAUAGGUGCUCGAAUUUCUCCGUCGCAUGUGGUGCUCUAGUAUGAUAUAAAAUACGGGAGGAAGGUAAUCAUGGAAGUGUGAACCACACUCAUAUUUAAAAAAUGCAUUAAAACAGGGAAUUUUUCAAUCUUCUACAAAAGACUCGGCGUAUAUUCUUCUAGAAGAGCUUUGAACGUCGAGCCAAGCCGUGGCCGUCAUCAGUACAGGUGCGUGUCGAUCGGCUGACAUCCUACACGAGAGGAGUUAUAGAAUCGGCCCAAUCUGAUCAAAAUGUCUGGUGAAGUAGUGCCAGAAUACAGGAUAAAAUGGCGGAAGGUUGGUAUGUACAUAAUUAAAGUGGGUACCUCUCCCUUUGAAACCAUAGAUUCAGGGUUUUUCCCGUCAAUUUGUCAAAGCUGGUGCUAUGGCAUGUUCACCGACCAGAGUCUGCGCCGUUGAAUCCCAUAAAACGGACAAACUGCCGCGUCGAAACAUUGCGAUCCCGGAUUUUAUUAUUUAAUGUAUUCUAAAUGUUCUGACUACGUUCUAUUCUCAACAUAUAUAGUGGUUCAAAGAUCUUUCUUUUAAUUUGUACUUAAUAGUACUGUCAUAUUCUAUUUACAAUUGUACUCAUCUUUUUUCAACGUAAAAUAUACAGUUGUUUAUAGAGAAAGAAUAUAAUCAUUUUCAUCUAGAUGUUUUUCAUUAAAAUAUAAUUGAGGACGUGGAAGUGUGUAUGGAUUCGUAAGUAAGUUUAAUCGCCACCAGCGAUAGACACGAGAUAUCCAGCAAUAUACCCCAAUGUGGACGUAGAUGUGGAACCUGUGAAUUCGGGGGAGAGUGAAAGGAUCGCGCCAAACACCGUAUAAACUGGCAGAUUCAGAGAGAAGCUCCUGGGAUUCUGUUAGUCCCUGAGAGUGUCAUUCGAAGCCACGCCAAUAGGUUGUGUCCAUCCAUCCACAAGAGGUUGUAGAAAGUCAACAAUCAGCAACGGUGGUGUCCUUGAGUGCUUGGCACAGGAACCAUGGAGCGAUAUUGUCGUAACUGGACCAGCGGAUGACACCUGGUGACUGUGGAAGGGCGGCGUACACUCUACCUGACGUCUUGUGGGGCCAGCAGUUCAGCCACUGACACAUCAUCAAUACAAUGCUGUACUUCUCACUAGAAAUCUCACCAGCCUGAGAGGAAAUAAAUUCAUUUCCUGGCUAUCAGCCUUGCUGAAAUUUUCUUGCAUUUAAAUCCUGGGAGAAAUCGUCAGACUUUAUUUUAAACGAGAACCUUAUAGAUAUACCAACGUUCCUACGAUUGUCAAAUAGUGUUUGUACUUACUUCUGUUUUUAAAGUGAUGAGGACAUCCAUAACGUUUAUUGGGGAUGAUAUGUUCAUCAAACACCUUAAUUCACAGUCAACAGCGCUGAGGUUCACCAGAUGAUUCCCCAUUUGAUUUCCCUGUAAAGAUGUCCGUCUCCAACUCCUCCGAUGGCAUAUACAGAAAACGGAUGUUUUAGACUCGUUCAUAACUGUCUAUCAAGGAAUGGUAUUUUCUGUUUAUAUGUCUACAUAUGGGGAUACUGGACAUUCAGUUGAUCUUGCCUCAUAAUAUUUGUAUAAAUGUCAGCUCUUUUUUUUUCAUAAUUUCCCAUUCUUCCAACUCUUGCAACAGGUUUGUCAUAGACUUGAUAUGACAGUAUCAUUCACAAGCGGCAAUAGGCUUUUCCAAUCUGAAGUUGCUUCAACGAGCUUUUAUGGGUAACCGCCACUACUAUCCGCCGUAUCUGCUAGUUUGCACAGACGCUCGACAGAUGAGCAUAGUUUUUUGCGUCUAUUUUGAAGGGAGAGGUGACCUUUCUUUGUAAAUAUAGGAAAUAAGUUUUCUAGGUUCCCCCUCAUCCAAAUUUCAAUUCUUAUACCAAUGUUCCUGUUAGAUAUCUCAUCACCUUCUUCAUUGCAGUUCAGUGUAUCUGUCAGGACUACUGUGGUAGUUUGCAGACGAGUGUUAACAGCUAUGAACAUAAUCACUUCAAGGAUUUCUUGAUAGGGUGUUGAAAAGAGUGUUGUCAUCAACAGGGUUGCUCAAAUUGAUUUUUUGGAACUUGGUGUUAAAACGGGUUUACAGUUUUUUUAUUCGAUAUUUCUAUAAUAUUUGUCUCUUAUAGAAAAUUUGUUGUAAUGAAAUUCCCUCAUUGUUUUGUGGAAUGCCUUUGUUUUGUGAGCAAAGAAAGGGUUAAUAGGAGCGAGGCAAAACCCAAACAGGGAGUGGUGACGUCAACGCCGAUGAUUUGCAAAGUCCAUCUAACAUGCCCACCUACUGUUAUAUAUCUCCGAGUGGCAAUGGCCUGAAUCUAGGAAAUAUCAAAGGCUAUCAUUGAUCCUCUCUUUGUUAGAAUGUGUCGACCUAGAGCUGCUAAGAGGACCAUGUUCUGUACUCUAUAAACAGUUGUCUGUUGAACAUUUUGAUGGGUUGUUAUUAUUAUUAUUAUUAUUUUUUUUUUUGCAUUUUCCUGUUUCUCCUACUUCUUCCAUUCCUUUAGUUAGCUCUUGUCUACGCGCAUUCCUUUACGUUUAUUCCAUUUCAAUAUUUUUAUGUAAACUCUGAUCCCUAUUAAAUUGUAUGUAGUUCUACAAGCAGGAUAUAUAUAUAUUAAAUGUGUAUGUUAUAUAAAUUUUGACACUAUACCACUACUCCUGUAAUGUUCCAGAUUCCACAAAGCUAACAGGCUGUGUGUGUGCAGGGCCAAGACCAGAGGCAAAGUUGAUAUAGGCACACAGACAGACCCUCCACCAAUCAUUUUCCAGGCCCUCGAUCCCCCCGAACUUUUUGACAACCCUCAAGGCUACAUCAACAAUGAUCUUUUCUUACAGUCCGCACACCAAAUGUCCCUUCCCAAUUCCUCAUUUUCCCUCGAUUUACCCCUAUUUUUCCCCUGCCCCCAAUACGAGUUUCUCCUUCCACCCCUAGCUUUCGAAAUUUCUUCUUCCGCUCCCUGUUUUCCCAGGCCCGCAUCCCCCCUGCCCCGCGAUCCCGUGCAGCUGCGACUGCGGCUUCACGGGAACGCGGAGCCGGGGUCCCGUUAGGAAUACUAACCCCCGUUUCUGUAGUUACUAACCCACACCCUCUGGUCUUCAAAAUUCUAUAGUCACGUUCCCCUGUAUCCCCCUUUCAAAAUUUUGACAGUUUUUUUUAUAACCAUCAUUUUAUAAGUGUCAUAAAUAAGCCUAACUAACCACCUCCACUCGAUGUGGAAGAUCAAAGGUGAGAUUAACGCAGUAACUGAAUUGCUGCCAGUUGCCAGAGAUCAGGUAACUUGGGUCUCAGCAGCGAUUUAUCGGGGUGAAAGAGACAACCACGGUAUAUCUAAUCCCAUUCCGUUCAAAUCACUCAAAACGCUUCAAUACGCCCCAGAAUAAAUUUUAAAUAUAACAAUCGAGAUGUUUAGCUUGCAGUAAAAUACAGUGUGUCGAGAAUUAAAAAAAAAUGUAAUACUCUAGAGUACUGUAUUCAUUCGUAAAAUGUACUCUAGGUUCACACUCUGUUUUACAUAUCACAAAAUAUAAUUUUAAAAUAGGUUGAACUAAUAUCUCAGAGAGGAGUCAACAAAUAUAUUUUUCUAAAUGUUUCUGUUUUUCUAGAUUAACUUUACAAUAACGAAGCCUAAAAACAAUAUUGUACAGACAGAAGCAGGCCGGACAAUAAUUGCGGGGUACUUGAUAAAACCGCAACUCGAUUGGUGACUAGUCUUUACUUUUGACACUGUGGCGCCGAAGACGGUUCCCGACAUCAGACCCAGUCAACUCUGCUAGAUCCACUGUUAAAUUGGGAGUUGACGGUAGUUGGAGAGAGGAAGUUUUAAUUGUUUUCAGCUCUGAGGCAUCUUUGUUGUCUGCAAAGAUAUAAAGAUGUUUAUGAACAAAUUUUAAAAUAGGGUUAAUUUUAUGUGUCGGACCUCUUGAAUCUGAAAGGCUAACUAGGUGAAAACUGGCUUUGAAGGCAUAUCGGGGUUUUAAGUAAAAGUUAUCCUAUUGACUUAAACACAGCCCAUCUACUAUCUUGGCGAAUGCUAAACGAUUCUUGUUGAAAUCUCUUAAAACUUUAAUAUGUUGCGGCCAUUAUAUAUGCGAAUAUAUAUAUAUCAUUAACAUAAAAUUUGGAGACAAUGUGCGUGUAAACUUCCCUAGAGACAAUCAUGGGCAAUAUCAAGAUUUGAUGAUUAACCAAAUGGAAUAUUUCAUAUAUGGGUUCACAUUUAGACCUUUAAUUUCUUAUCGAAGCAAUAAUCUUAGAAAAAGUGUUUUUAUUUGGGUUAUGAAGGUUUUGUUGUUGCUUCCUAUAUAUCUAAAUAGAUUCAUAUAUAAGAUGAGUUUAGUUACUGCCCUAUGCAGAGAACGCGCAGAACAACAUAUUC